ACCUGAUGAUGUGGACAAGAUCCCCGAAGAGGUGACAGCUAUCACAUGUGUGUUGGAGCUGUCCCCGUCUUAUAAAAGCAGCCCGAGAGGAACUGACUAUAGAAUAAACAUGAAUUCAGAAGCACAGUGGAAGUGGAAAACAAGGAAGAAAAGAGAGAAAAGGCAGCAGAGAAAGACAGAAGAGGUGAAUACAGAGCUACAGAAGUGUUUAUUGAGCAUGCUACAGAGGCAAGCAGCGUACACAUAAGAAGAAAUUAAACAACCAUCAAACCUC